GACGAACGCUGGCGGCGUGCUUAACACAUGCAAGUCGAACGAUGAUGGGACUGCUUCGGUGGUUUUUGAUUAGUGGCGAACGGGUGAGUAACACGUGAGUAACCUGCCCUUCACUCUGGGAUAAGCCUUGGAAACGGGGUCUAAUACUGGAUAUUACUUGAGCCCGCAUGGGUUCGGGUGGAAAGCUUUUGUGGUGGAGGAUGGGCUCGCGGCCUAUCAGCUUGUUGGUGAGGUGAUGGCUUACCAAGGCGACGACGGGUAGCCGGCCUGAGAGGGUGACCGGCCACACUGGGACUGAGACACGGCCCAGACUCCUACGGGAGGCAGCAGUGGGGAAUAUUGCACAAUGACGGAAGGUACUGAUGCAGCGACGCGCGU
rnacentral:rRNA from 1 species